rnacentral:rRNA from 1 species
GGCUCAGGACGAACGCUGGCGGCGUGCCUAACACAUGCAAGUCGAGCGAGGAGAUCCUCGGGAUGAUCCUAGCGGCGGACGGGUGAGUAACACGUGGGCAACCUGCCUCAUAGAGAGGAAUAGCCUUCCGAAAGGGAGAUUAAUACCUCAUAACAUUGCAGUUUCGCAUGGAACAGCAAUUAAAGGAGUAAUCCGCUAUGAGAUGGGCCCGCGGCGCAUUAGCUAGUUGGUGAGGUAAUGGCUCACCAAGGCGACGAUGCGUAGCCGACCUGAGAGGGUGAUCGGCCACAUUGGGACUGAGACACGGCCCAGACUCCUACGGGAGGCAGCAGUGGGGAAUAUUGCACAAUGGGGGAAACCCUGAUGCAGCAACGCCGCGUGAGUGAUGACGGCCUUCGGGUUGUAAAGCUCUGUCUUCAGGGACGAUAAUGACGGUACCUGAGGAGGAAGCCACGGCUAACUACGUGCCAGCCGCGGC